rnacentral:rRNA from 1 species
UACGUAGGGUGCAAGCGUUGUCCGGAAUUAUUGGGCGUAAAGAGCUCGUAGGCGGUCUGUUGCGUCGGCUGUGAAAACCCGGGGCUCAACUCCGGGCCUGCAGCCGAUACGGGCAGACUAGAGUUCGGCAGGGGAGACUGGAAUUCCUGGUGUAGCGGUGAAAUGCGCAGAUAUCAGGAGGAACACCGGUGGCGAAGGCGCUCAUCUGGCCCAAUACUGACGCUGAGGCCGCGAAAGCGUGGGGAGCGAACAGG